AACGAUAAAGCGGGUGAAAAGCCCGCUCGCCGGAAGACCAAGGGUUCCUGUCCAACGUUAAUCGGGGCAGGGUGAGUCGACCCCUAAGGCGAGGCCGAAAGGCGUAGUCGAUGGGAAACGGGUUAAUAUUCCCGUACUUGGUGUUACUGCGAAGGGGGGACGGAGAAGGCUAUGUUGGCCGGGCGACGGUUGUCCCGGUUUAAGCGUGUAGGCUGGUUUUCCAGGCAAAUCCGGAAAAUCAAGGCUGAGGCGUGAUGACGAGGCACUACGGUGCUGAAGCAACAAAUGCCCUGCUUCCAGGAAAAGCCUCUAAGCAUCAGGUAACAUCAAAUCGUACCCCAAACCGACACAGGUGGUCAGGUAGAGAAUACCAAGGCGCUUGAGAGAACUCGGGUGAAGGAACUAGGCAAAAUGGUGCCGUAACUUCGGGAGAAGGCACGCUGACACGUAGGUGAAGUGAUUUACUCAUGGAGCUGAAGUCAGUCGAAGAUACCAGCUGGCUGCAACUGUUUAUUAAAAACACAGCACUGUGCAAACACGAAAGUGGACGUAUACGGUGUGACGCCUGCCCGGUGCCGGAAGGUUAAUUGAUGGGGUCAGCGCAAGCGAAGCUCCUGAUCGAAGCCCCGGUAAACGGCGGCCGUAACUAUAACGGUCCUAAGGUAGCGAAAUUCCUUGUCGGGUAAGUUCCGACCUGCACGAAUGGCGUAAUGAUGGCCAGGCUGUCUCCACCCGAGACUCAGUGAAAUUGAACUCGCUGUGAAGAUGCAGUGUACCCGCGGCAAGACGGAAAGACCCCGUGAACCUUUACUAUAGCUUGACACUGAACAUUGAGCCUUGAUGUGUAGGAUAGGUGGGAGGCUUUGAAGUGUGGACGCCAGUCUGCAUGGAGCCGACCUUGAAAUACCACCCUUUAAUGUUUGAUGUUCUAACGUGGACCCGUAAUCCGGGUUGCGGACAGUGUCUGGUGGGUAGUUUGACUGGGGCGGUCUCCUCCUAAAGAGUAACGGAGGAGCACGAAGGUUGGCUAAUCCUGGUCGGACAUCAGGAGGUUAGUGCAAUGGCAUAAGCCAGCUUGACUGCGAGCGUGACGGCGCGAGCAGGUGCGAAAGCAGGUCAUAGUGAUCCGGUGGUUCUGAAUGGAAGGGCCAUCGCUCAACGGAUAAAAGGUACUCCGGGGAUAACAGGCUGAUACCGCCCAAGAGUUCAUAUCGACGGCGGUGUUUGGCACCUCGAUGUCGGCUCAUCACAUCCUGGGGCUGAAGUAGGUCCCAAGGGUAUGGCUGUUCGCCAUUUAAAGUGGUACGCGAGCUGGGUUUAGAACGUCGUGAGACAGUUCGGUCCCUAUCUGCCGUGGGCGCUGGAGAACUGAGGGGGGCUGCUCCUAGUACGAGAGGACCGGAGUGGACGCAUCACUGGUGUUCGGGUUGUCAUGCCAAUGGCACUGCCCGGUAGCUAAAUGCGGAAGAGAUAAGUGCUGAAAGCAUCUAAGCACGAAACUUGCCCCGA
rnacentral:rRNA from 1 species